rnacentral:rRNA from 1 species
GACGAACGCUGGCGGCGUGCCUAAUACAUGCAAGUAGAACGCUGAAGGAGGAGCUUGCUCUUCUGGAUGAGUUGCGAACGGGUGAGUAACGCGUAGGUAACCUGCCUGGUAGCGGGGGAUAACUAUUGGAAACGAUAGCUAAUACCGCAUAACAGUAGAUGUUGCAUGACAUUUGCUUAAAAGGUGCAAUUGCACCACUACCAGAUGGACCUGCGUUGUAUUAGCUAGUUGGUGGGGUAACGGCUCACCAAGGCGACGAUACAUAGCCGACCUGAGAGGGUGAUCGGCCACACUGGGACUGAGACACGGCCCAGACUACUACGGGAGGCAGCAGUAGGGAAUCUUAGGCAAUGGACGGAAGUCUGACCGAGCAACGCCGCGUGAGUGAAGAAGGUUUUCGGAUCGUAAAGCUCUGUUGUAAGAGAAGAACGAGUGUGAGAGUGGAAAGUUCACACUGUGACGGUAUCUUACCAGAAAGGGACGGCUAACUACGUG